AAAACUCCCAGAUGAGUGCAUAAAUCCCGUCCGAUGAAACAGCAUAAAUCCUGUCCGACGAAACAGCAUAAAUCCCUCCGAUCUGCGUAAAUCCCGUCCGACGAAACAGCGUUUGAUUCAUACCUCCGAUCAGCACCGUCCGACUCCGUCCAUCCCUACCGCCUCCACCAUUCGCCGUCGACGAUCUGCACCAGACACUCCGCCGCGAGGUCCCGGUCUCCGUAUUUCUUCCGAGUUAGUAAACUUUCUUUUCUAAAUGCAUUGUAUUGAGACGUCGUUAACGAGAAAAGUGGAGAUGGAAGGUCGAUAAGGAUGAUUCACGUAUGUUUGUU
rnacentral:lncRNA from 1 species